CUACNNUGCAGUCGAACGAUGAACCUCACUUGUGGGGGGAUUAGUGGCGAACGGGUGAGUAACACGUGAGUAACCUGCCCUUGACUCUGGGAUAAGCCUGGGAAACUGGGUCUAAUACCGGAUAUGACUCCUCAUCGCAUGGUGGGGGGUGGAAAGCUUUAUUGUGGUUUUGGAUGGACUCGCGGCCUAUCAGCUUGUUGGUGAGGUAAUGGCUCACCAAGGCGACGACGGGUAGCCGGCCUGAGAGGGUGACCGGCCACACUGGGACUGAGACACGGCCCAGACUCCUACGGGAGGCAGCAGUGGGGAAUAUUGCACAAUGGGCGAAAGCCUGAUGCAGCGACGCCGCGUGAGGGAUGACGGCCUUCGGGUUGUAAACCUCUUUCAGUAGGGAAGAAGCGAAAGUGACGGUACCUGCAGAAGAAGCGCCGGCUAACUACGUGCCAGCAGCCGCGGUAAUACGUAGGGCGCAAGCGUUAUCCGGAAUUAUUGGGCGUAAAGAGCUCGUAGGCGGUUUGUCGCGUCUGCCGUGAAAGUCCGGGGCUCAACUCCGGAUCUGCGGUGGGUACGGGCAGACUAGAGUGAUGUAGGGGAGACUGGAAUUCCUGGUGUAGCGGUGAAAUGCGCAGAUAUCAGGAGGAACACCGAUGGCGAAGGCAGGUCUCUGGGCAUUAACUGACGCUGAGGAGCGAAAGCAUGGGGAGCGAACAGGAUUAGAUACCCUGGUAGUCCAUGCCGUAAACGUUGGGCACUAGGUGUGGGGGACAUUCCACGUUUUCCGCGCCGUAGCUAACGCAUUAAGUGCCCCGCCUGGGGAGUACGGCCGCAAGGCUAAAACUCAAAGGAAUUGACGGGGGCCCGCACAAGCGGCGGAGCAUGCGGAUUAAUUCGAUGCAACGCGAAGAACCUUACCAAGGCUUGACAUGAACCGGAAACGUCUGGAAACAGGCGCCCCACUUGUGGUCGGUUUACAGGUGGUGCAUGGUUGUCGUCAGCUCGUGUCGUGAGAUGUUGGGUUAAGUCCCGCAACGAGCGCAACCCUCGUUCCAUGUUGCCAGCGCGUAUGGCGGGGACUCAUGGGAGACUGCCGGGUCACUCGGAGGAAGGUGGGGACGACGUCAAUCAUCAUGCCCCUUNUGUCUGGGCUUNCGCNGCUACAUGGCCGGUANAAGGGU
rnacentral:rRNA from 1 species